UAUGUAUCAGCGACUGCUCUGCCAAGAAUACAUCACUGAGUAUUUUUGGCCCGCUUUGUCACGCUGGCCUGUGGGGCAUACAGAGCUGUCUAAUGGAUAUAUGACGGAUGCUUCUGGAUGUCUACGAGCUUAAAUCCUCCCCUCUAGCGUCUGGUACAGAUGUGUAAUGCUGACCCACUUUAUUUGAUGGGGAGCUGGAAAGAAGUAAGCAAUGACUGAAGGAAAGGAACGGUGGAAGGAAGGUCUCCUCCUCCUCUUCCUCCUUUCACUCUCCUUCCCUGCUGCUCAUGUCCCACAGUGUUGUGUUUAAGGAUCAUUCUGUGAUGACAGAGAUUUAACCCUAGCUAUGGACAGCAACAGGGAAGGACAAGGAGGAGACGGAGAGAGACAGAGAGUUGGGGAGAUGUGAGGGGUAUCUGAAGAGAGAGAUGGAAGUGAGAUGGAUGGAGGACGGAAGAGCACGUGGAGAACCUGCGUUUCCUGUCUCCUUCUGCUAUGAAUAAUUGAUGUGAGGGACUAAAACCAGCUCCGUGAACUCAGAAAAAGUGUGACAGCUGAAAAAAAAGGAGAGCGGCUCACAGCAGCCAUCAAGACGAAAAGCACAGGGAAAGAUGCUACUCUGAGAUGUCUGAGCGAGGGAGGCAGAAGAAGAGACAUGCUGGAAAUUGUAGA